rnacentral:rRNA from 1 species
UACGAAGGGGGCUAGCGUUGUUCGGAAUUACUGGGCGUAAAGCGCACGUAGGCGGAUAUUUAAGUCAGGGGUGAAAUCCCAGAGCUCAACUCUGGAACUGCCUUUGAUACUGGGUAUCUUGAGUAUGGAAGAGGUAAGUGGAAUUGCGAGUGUAGAGGUGAAAUUCGUAGAUAUUCGCAGGAACACCAGUGGCGAAGGCGGCUUACUGGUCCAUUACUGACGCUGAGGUGCGAAAGCGUGGGGAGCAAACAGGGAUUAAGAAACCCGG